CCCCAAGAGCUGGGAGCGGGUGACCGGCGGCGGCGGCGGGGAAGCGGCCUGGGUCCGGCCCUCCGAUUCCGGGGUCCUGGGGCGGGCAUCUCGCGGGGCACCUCCCCCCCCGCCCCCCGCCCGUAGCCCGCCUACCAGGACCUCCCCGGGCCAGAGCCAUGGCCGCCGAGAACAGCAAGCAGUUCUGGAAGAGGAGCGCCAAGCUGCCGGGGAGCAUCCAGCCCGUGUAUGGAGCGCAGCACCCUCCUCUGGACCCUCAGCUCACCAAAAACUUCAUUAAAGAACGGUCAAAAGUCAACGCAGUUCCCCUGAAGAAUAAGAAGGCCUCGAGUUUUCACGAGUUUGCUCGGAACACCAGUGAUGCUUGGGACAUUGGCGAUGAUGAGGAAGAAGACUUUUCCUCACCUUCUUUGCAGACUCUGAACUCAAAAGUUGCUUUGGCAACUGCUGCCCAGGUCCUAGAAAACCACAGCAAACUGAGGGUAAAACCAGAACGGUCCCAAUCCACAACAUCUGACGGCCCUACUGGCUAUAAAGUCAUCAAGUCUAGCAGUGAUGCCCAGCUGUCCAGAAACUCCAGUGAUACAUGCUUGAGGAACCCACUCCACAAACAGCAGUCACUCCCUCUCCGGCCCAUCAUCCCUCUGGUAGCCCGGAUCUCAGACCAGAAUGCUUCUGGGGCACCCCCCAUGACAGUCCGGGAGAAAACCCGCCUAGAAAAAUUCCGUCAGCUUCUCUCCAGCCACAACACUGACUUAGAUGAACUGAGGAAGUGUAGCUGGCCAGGGGUUCCCAGGGAGGUUCGGCCUGUAACCUGGAGACUCCUGUCGGGCUACCUCCCGGCGAACACCGAGAGGCGGACGCUGACACUGCAGCGCAAGCGGGAGGAGUACUUCGGCUUCAUUGAGCAGUAUUACGACUCGAGGAAUGAGGAGCAUCACCAGGACACCUACAGACAGAUUCACAUUGACAUUCCAAGGACGAAUCCUCUCAUUCCAUUGUUCCAGCAGCCGCUUGUACAGGAGAUCUUUGAAAGGAUUCUAUUUAUUUGGGCCAUCCGACACCCUGCCAGUGGGUAUGUCCAGGGAAUUAAUGACCUGGUCACUCCGUUCUUUGUCGUCUUCCUCUCAGAAUAUGUGGAAGAGGAUGUGGAGAACUUUGACGUGACCAACUUGUCUCAGGACAUCCUGCGCAGCAUUGAAGCGGACAGCUUUUGGUGCAUGAGCAAGCUGCUGGACGGGAUCCAGGAUAACUAUACCUUUGCACAACCAGGGAUCCAGAAGAAGGUCAAGGCGCUGGAAGAGCUUGUCAGCCGGAUUGAUGAGCAGGUACACAAUCACUUCAGGAGGUACGAGGUCGAAUACCUCCAGUUUGCCUUCCGAUGGAUGAACAACCUGCUCAUGCGGGAGCUUCCUCUUCGCUGCACUAUCCGCCUGUGGGACACGUACCAGUCGGAACCAGAAGGGUUCUCCCACUUCCAUCUCUACGUGUGUGCGGCCUUCUUGAUCAAGUGGAGGAAAGAGAUCUUGGAUGAGGAAGACUUCCAGGGCCUCCUCAUGCUGCUACAGAAUCUACCUACGAUACACUGGGGCAACGAGGAGAUCGGGCUGCUUCUGGCCGAGGCGUACAGACUCAAGUACAUGUUUGCUGAUGCCCCCAAUCACUACCGCCGAUAGGUGCUGUCUCCUCUGGGGACCCAGACUGCCCCCAUCUUUGAUGGCAAUCUCAUCACUGUGGCCACUGAGCGAGCGUGGACCUUGGCCAGGAACCACUCCUGCUGUACAAAGCUCCCCCCCGCCGCCCAGGUCUCAACGUCUUGGCAUCCACCACUCCAUGUCUCUGGAUGUGUCUCUCAGACCACUCUCAGUAUUCCAUGCCAUGUGGAUGGGCCCAGCUCUGGGAGAGGACAGAAAAGGAGGAAAAACAUAGAAAAUUUAUUACAUGCCUAAGGCAGGGCGUCAUUAGGCUGAUCACCUUGGCUCUUUGUGACUCACUUUGAGUUUCUCACAGUUGUGUGUGUUGGGAAGACUCCUGGCCCGCCUUCUUCUUCCGGCUCCCCACCUGCUCUCCCCCUGCUCUGUCUGAGCCAGUGAGAUGGAGGAGGCUCCUAACUCUGGGAAGAGGCCCACACCUAAGGGCUAGGAAUUUUCUUUUCCCUUUUCUCACCAGAUGUCUACGUGCGAGCGUGUACCAAGCCCAUCAGCCUUCCGUCGCUGUCUGAAUUUCUGUGUCCAGUGUAGCCCGUCCAUACCAGUGGGGCGGGGGGGAGAAGGGGCUCCAGUGACCAAGCAGGGAAGGAUCAGGGCCGGGCAGGGAGGAGCGGGUUGUCCCCUCUCCAAACCUUCUUUCCAUGAUGACCCACUCCAAGAUAUUAUGUGUAAAUUGUGUUAUUAUGUAUAUGGUAAAGAUGUACAAAUAUAUGUCCUUUGUAGCAGAUAUGAUUUUAUAUUUAUAAUGUGCAUCGACAUGUGAAAGCAAUCUAGGUCACUAGCACAGACGAAGUCGCCAGACCGGUGGCUUCUUUGGGCACCCUGUCUGCAGGGGGCAGACUGGCCGUCCGCUGGAGUGGGCAUGGCUAAGAUGGAGCUGUCAGCCCACACAUCAGUGUCUCAGUUUUUCUUUUCUCCCAUCAUCCCACGCCUCCUCAGCCUGGACCCUGCCCCUCUCUUCUUCAGCGGUGGGGCUCCCCCCACCUCUCA